rnacentral:rRNA from 1 species
ACACGGUCCAGACUCCUACGGGAGGCAGCAGUGGGAAUAUUGGACAAUGGGCGAAAGCCUGAUCCAGCCAUGCCGCGUGUGUGAAGAAGGUCUUCGGAUUGUAUAGCACUUUAAGUUGGGAGGAAGGGCAUUAACCUAAUACGUUAGUGUUUUGACGUUACCGACAGAAUAAGCACCGGCUAACUCUGUGCCAGCAGCCGCGGUAAUACAGAGGGUGCAAGCGUUAAUCGGAAUUACUGGGCGUAAAGCGCGCGUAGGUGGUUUGUUAAGUUGGAUGUGAAAGCCCCGGGCUCAACCUGGGAACUGCAUUCAAAACUGACAAGCUAGAGUAUGGUAGAGGGUGGUGGAAUUUCCUGUGUAGCGGUGAAAUGCGUANAUAUAGGAAGGAACACCAGUGGCGAAGGCGACCACCUGGACUGAUACUGACACUGANGUGCGAAAGCGUGGGGAGCAAACAGGAUUAGAUACCCUGGUAGUCCACGCCGUAAACGAUGUCAACUA